UGAGAAUAAGGCAUUUUAAUAAAUAAAUUAAUACUAGUUGUAUGUAGAUGGUAGACUUUGAAUCUAUAAAUGAAAUAAAUAUUAUAUAUAUAUAUAUAUAUAUAAAGGAAUGAUUAAAUUUAAAGAUAAUGACAUCAGGAAAUUAGAACAGAGGAAAAAAAAUACACAUACAAGAAAAUAACACGUAUUAAGCAAAGCCAUCAUGGACGACUUUUCCUUCAAAAGGGAUUUUUAGCUUGCAACUUGUCAAGUUUUAGAUGCUACAGAAAGUAGUCCAAAAAGUACUACUAAAGAAAAUCAACUAGUGUUGAUCUGAAAAUUGGCUCUGGCAUCCUUUAAGCACGUAAUCUUAGAUAAAACCCCAAGAUUCAUAUAUAUGGGGGAAAAUAUGAGAUUGAAAGGGUUUUAGCUUGCUUCUGACCAUACUUCUUGGAAAAAAAACAGUUAGAUAAAACCCUUCACAUGGGAAGCAAGUCAUAGAUAGCGUUCUUCCUUUGAAUUUGAAAGUUGAAACAUCUAAUCGCUGAAACAUGGAACCUAUCUGUCUUUUUGUCGUAUACAACUAAUUAAGGUACGAGUAUCCCUAAUUUGUGUCUACCAAUAUUUCAUUUGCUGGAAGCAUAAAAACAAAGUUGGAUAGUGGAUAUACUCCUAUAUCCCUAGUUAAGUCUCAUAAAUUACGGAAAAUUUUUCGAUCACAUAAAGAAAUGCUGGUAAGCUUAAUAUACUAAUCGAAUUUUAUAAUUGAUUCUUCAUGACAAGAAAAUUGUCAUUUGAUGUCACAUGUUGCAAAUAACCACAUAAAGAGGCAUAUGGCAAAAUACUUGCAGCACCUUUUUGCUUGAAGAAAAAGGUAUGUUUCUUGAUAAACUUCUUAGUAACCACUACUAAGAGAAAAAAAAGAAGCACAGUGAAUUAAGCUUUUUUUCCAAAGUUAAAAUUAGUCUAUACAUAAGUUAAAAUCAGAUUUUGGAAAACUUGUACAAAUUAAUUUAUAUAUAAGUUUUGGUUUUUAACCAAGUCACAUGAAAUAGUGUGAUCCAUAUUACCAACCUUACUUAAUAAGAUAAGGCUUUAUUUUUAACUUAGGAGAAAAAAUAUAUUGUUUUUCUUAACUUAUCUAUAUGAUAGUUACAAUAAAUGUAGUAAAUAUGCUAAAAACUUGAUUAAGUAUCCAACUUACACAAAGGCUGGUGUGUAUCUGAACUUGGCUGGCCAUGGCACAGGCUGUGGCACAAGAAUAACCUCUGUUUGAUUACCAGUGACGAUCACCACAACAGCUACCAGUGAUGCUGCAAAUAACACAAACCUUAGGAUAACAUCAAAUUUAAAGUAAUCAACACCCGCAGGAGCUGGAGUUGAAGAUGAUGUUCUGU
rnacentral:lncRNA from 1 species